UACAUUUUAGUAUAUUUUGUACAUGAAUUUUUGGUGUUCAAAGGAGUGAUUAAUUUUAUUAAAUGUAA
rnacentral:tRNA from 1 species